rnacentral:rRNA from 1 species
AACCCUCGUCGUUAGUUGCUAACAGUUUGGCUGAGCACUCUAACGAGACUGCCUUGUAAGGAGGAGGAAGGUGAGACGACGUCAAGUCAUCAUGGCCCUUAGGCCAGGGCUACACACGUGCUACAAUGGGGCGUACAAAGAGCUGCAAUACCGCGAGGUGGAGCCAAUCUCUUAAAGCGUACUCUCAGUUCGGAUUGUUCUCUGCAACUCGAGAACAUGAAGCUGGAAUCACUAGUAAUCGUAGAUCAGCUAUGCUACGGUGAAUACGUUCCCGGGUCUU